rnacentral:rRNA from 1 species
UACAGAGGGUGCGAGCGUUACUCGGAAUUACUGGGCGUAAAGCGUGCGUAGACGGUUAUUUAAGUCGGAUGUGAAAGCCCCGGGCUCAACCUGGGAAUUGCAUUCGAGACUGCAUAGCUAGAGUGUUGUAGAGGGUGGCGGAAUUUCCAGUGUAGCGGUGAAAUGCGUAGAUAUUGGAAGGAACACCAGUGGCGAAGGCGGCCACCUGGACAAACACUGACACUGAGGUACGAAAGCGUGGGUAGCGAACAGG